GAACCUUGCUGAGGCAAUUUCAUCGGGACCAUGGACAGAGGUCCACCUGAUGCACCACCAAUUUAGCAAAUAAUUUACACCUAAUGUUCCACUACCAUUUAAAUAAAAAUUUCUUAACAUUGUUUUUUCUUUAGGAAAUUCCAAUGCAACACUCUAGCAAUAGCUGUGGAGUUUUUAUGCUUAUGUAUGCACUCUACAUGGUCCUGGGAGGAAUUUUUGACUUUACAGAGACAGAUAUGCCUGCCAUAAGGAGAUGGUGGUGUGCACUCCUACUGGUUACUUGUUUGGAAUGCACUUCAGGGAGAGCAAAGAAAAUGAUGGACACACAUGGCCUAAAACCAAAAAAACCAACAACAUGCAUUUUGGAGUUGCCCCCAGAGAUGCUCUGAAAAAUUCUGUUAGAUGUUGUGUACGAGGAUGGGGAUGCGGCCUUCUUGCAUCUGUCACUUGUGUGCAGAGAUUUCUACAGUAUUGUGAACAAACAAAGUUUCAGGAGGAAAGCCCACUUGGCCUGGCUUGAUAGCACUGUCAACUGGGACUCGAUCACUGAUGAAGUAAGAAGAGAGUGCAGAGCAGAGUACAAAUUGUCCGACUGCUCUGAGUGUAAACAGCUCUAUAAGGACAUUGUGGGCUACUGUGGUCGUGGAAAAGAGGGGGCAUAUCAGGGAUUCUAUGCAGACCAAGACUUUCCAGGUUUCUGUUCUGCGGACUGUGCCAACAACUGGUGCAGGAGAGCAUGUUGACACAUGACAUCAAAUUCAUGUAUGCUACAUGAAUUAAAAAUCAGAGUUUUUCAGGGUUAUUCCACCAUAUAUUGAUAUUUAAACACUCAAAACAUUAGUAUUGUUGUUUCUGAAUGAAAAUGAACUUGUUUUUUUCACAUUAUUUGACGUUUCAAUUAUUAUUUAUGAUUAUUUUUUCCAGUUUAUAUGCAUGCACUAAACAUGCUGCACUGUAGUUUGGUUGUAGAUUUUUGUGUUUACAUUUUUUUUUAUCUUGUAACACUAUUUUGUAUGCAGUCAUUUUUAAGUUACUGUUGUUUACAAAAUAUACCCUAUAGCAUACCUGUCGAGUUUUAGAUUUAAAAAUAAGGGAUAUUUUACUCUGUCCGCUUAAAGCCGUCCCACCAGCCCAACGAAGGUACGGUAUCCCUUACAUUUUAAGACAGGUUUCCAAAAAAUCUAAAAUAACGACAUGUGAACCACUUACACACUACAAUUAGAUUAUCAGAAUCUGAAAUGUUG
rnacentral:lncRNA from 1 species